rnacentral:lncRNA from 1 species
UUAUUGGAGUUGGUCCGGCUGAAGGAAGUGCGAUGAUCACAUCCUUCUUGGGAGGAUGAGAGAGUUUCUUUUUUGCCGCGACCAUCGCAACCACGUCGACUUGUUUUAUGGCACGACCACCUGGAAAAACAAAAUAAGUAGAUAAACAAAAGAAGUAAAAUAUAUAUACCUUGAGCUGUUUCUUUAGAUUUUAGGGCGAAGUCUUCCUCGGUCAAUCUUUAAAAAGCUUCUUCGAAACUUCCUCUGCCGAGGUACCG